rnacentral:lncRNA from 1 species
GCUUGAUCGGUUCUACAAAGAGAAAUUUGAAGCAGGAAGCUGCAUUCCAUCUGCGAGCCAUGCUGAGAGAAAGCACUGAUCCUUUCACUGGACUAUACGGAGUCUGUAAACCAUCAACACAAAAGAAACCCUCCCACAUGAAGAAGAAAAAACUGUCAGCAAUUGUCUCAGAAAAUUUUCUUUACAAACAUGACUCUCAGAAGAUUGAGGAACGAAUGAAUUAAAUUAACUAACAGCAAAUCCACUAAUUAAAACUACUAAAGCAAUGCUUGCUUGUGAAGAUGUUUACUGGUUUGUUACCUCUCUGAAACUAUGCUUCCCAUUUAGCAAAAUCAUGUUUGUGUUUCUACCUAAUUUGUAAUAAGAUACUUGAAAAUUGCUAAUUAAUAAUUCUGAUAAACA